GUAAAGCGUCUGUAGGUGGUUUAGUGUGUUCUUAGUUAAACUCUGAAGCCUAACUUCAUGAAAAGUAAGAAAACUAUUAGACUUGAGUACGAUAGGGGUAAGAGGAAUUCUUCGAGAAGUAGUGAAAUGCGAAGAUACGAAGGAGAAGAUCAUAAGCGAAGGCUUCUUACUGGGUCGUAACUGACACUGAGAGACGAAAGCUAGGGGAGCGAAUGGGAUUAGAUACCCCAGUAGUCCUAGCUGUAAACGAUGGAUAUUCGGUGCCGGAAAUUUUAUUAGAACAUUUCGGUACCCUAGCUAACGCGUUAAAUAUCCCGCCUGAGGAGUACGCUCGCAAGGGUGAAACUCAAAGGAAUUGACGGGGGCUCGCACAAGCGGUGGAGCAUGUGGUUUAAUUCGAUGCAAAGCGAAGAACCUUACCAGGGCUUGACAGUAUGUAUAAAAGUCUUAACGGACUAUUUUAUAAAAUACAUAUACAGGUGGUGCAUGGCUGUCGUCAGCUCGUGUCGUGAGGUGUUGGGUUAAGUCCCGCAACGAGCGCAACCCUUGUUCGGAGUUAUAAGUAAACUUAAUUAUUCUUCGAAAACUGCCUAAACAUAAUAAUGUAGGAGGAAGGCGAGGAUGACGUCAAGUCAUUAUGCCCCUUAUGCUCUGGGCUACACACGUGCUACAAUGGGAGGUACAAUAAAAAGGUCUCUUCGUAAGAAGAGGUUAAAUAAAAUAAACCCUCUCUUAGUUCGGAUCGUAGACUGCAGCUCGUUUACGUGAAGUUGGAAUCGCUAGUAAUCGCCGGUCAGACAUACGGCGGUGAAUAUGUUCUCGAGCCUUGUACACACCGCCCGUCACGCCACGGGAAUUAAUCUCUCUGGAAAUCUUUGUUAAGAGAUGAUGGAAAGAUCGAUAACUGGGGUGAAGUCGUAACAAGGUAAC
rnacentral:rRNA from 1 species